GCGCUUGCUUCGGUAGCACAUAUACUAAAAUUGGAACGAUACAGAGGUUAGCAUGGCCCCUGCGCAAGGAUGACAUGCAAAGAAACUGCAAGGGUUU
ensembl:snRNA U6 U6 spliceosomal RNA